rnacentral:rRNA from 1 species
UACGGAGGGUGCAAGCGUUAAUCGGAAUUACUGGGCGUAAAGCGUGCGCAGGCGGCUAUGCAAGACAGAUGUGAAAUCCCCGGGCUCAACCUGGGAACUGCAUUUGUGACUGCAUGGCUAGAGUACGGUAGACGGGGAUGGAAUUCCGCGUGUAGCAGUGAAAUGCGUAGAUAUGCGGAGGAACACCGAUGGCGAAGGCAAUCCCCUGGACCUGUACUGACGCUCAUGCACGAAAGCGUGGGGAGCAAACAGG